rnacentral:lncRNA from 1 species
CUCUUAGGUCAGUCAGUGGGCCCCCACUUAUGAAAAUUUCUGGAUCCGCCACUGGAUUCAAUGUUUUCUAAAUGAUUAAAAAUUGAUGCUGAAUUUAAACAUUUAUCUGGAUGUAAAAACAAGUUGUAAAAAAAAAUCAAAGCAGAACAGUGGAAGGAUAUCAUAUAAAAAUAAGAUGUGAUAUGAUUGACAAGUAAGACUAAUCUCCACCAAGAACAACUAUAUGGCCUUCAAUAAUGAGCAAAAUGUAUAUUUCAUAGUGGGCUAUAAAAGGCCUGAAAUGACUAAUGUAAAACAAUUCAAAUGAGAAGACUAACAACAGCCUUUCUUAUGAACACAACAAUGAGCAAAAACAAAUAUGAUUUUCUGCAACAAACAACAACCGCUGAAUUACAGGCUCCAGACAUUUUACUGGAAGUGACGGGGACUAGUUUAAACUAGAGGCUCUCAAGAGCCUGUGUCGCUCACCUGUUAAUGUGUUUACUGAUGUCGGCCAUCUUCGUUGGUAGGCGGGGUCAUUAGACACUUUUUUUUAAAAUAGAUGCCCUAGUAUUAUGAUUGUGGCCAAGUUUGGUUAAAUUUGGCCAAGUCGUUUUAGAAAAGAUUUUUAUACAAGUUACAAAAAUGACGAAAAGUUGUUCAAUAUUGACUAUAAAGGGCAAUAGCUCCUUAAGGGGUCCUCUAACAAUUUUGAUCAUGCUGACUUAUUUGUAGAUCUUACUUUGCUGAACAUUAUUGCUGUUUACAGUUUAUCUCUAUCUAUAAUAGUAUUCAAGAUAAUAACCAAAAACUGCAAAAUUUCCUUAAAAUCACCAAUUUUAGGGCAGCAACCCAACAACAGGUUGUCCGAUUCAACUCAAAAUUUGUGAGGGGAUAUAUCUUAUUCUGAUGGACAUUUAAAUCUUGAAAGAUUUGCCCUAAAUGUCUUAGUUUCAAAGAUAUAUAGCAAAAACUGCAUUUUACCACUAUGUUCUAAUUUUAGCCCUGUCGGCCAUUUUGUUUGGCAGGCUGGGUCAUCGGACACAUUUUUUAAACUAUAAACCACAAUGAUAAUUGUGGCCAAGUUUGGUUAAAUUUGGCAAAGUAGUUUUGGAGAAGAAGAUUUUUAGAAAAGUUGCAAAAAAUGACGAAAAGUUGUUAAAAAUUGACUAUAAAGGGCAAUAACUCCUUAAGGGGUCAACUGACAAUUUUGGUAGUGUUGACUUAUUUGUAGGUCUUACUUUGCUGAACAUUAUUGCUGUUUACAGUUUAUCUCUAUCUAUAAUAGUAUUCAAGAUAAUAACCAAAAACUGCAAAAUUUCCUUAAAAUAACCAUUUCACAGGCAGCAACCCAACAACAGGUUGUCCUAUUCGUCUGAAAAUUUCAAGGCAGAUAGAUCUUGACCUGAUCAACCAUUUCACCCCUUGUCAGAUUUGCUCUAAAUGCUUUGGUUUUUGAGUUAUAAGCCAAAAACUGUAUUUUACCCCUAUGUUCUAUUUUUAGCCAUGGCGGCCAUCUUGGUUGGUUUGACGGGUCACGCCACACAUUUUUUAAACUAGAUACCCCAAGGAUGAUUGUGGCCAAGUUUGGUGGAAUUUGGCCCAGCAGUUUCAGAGAAGAAGAUUUUUGUAAAAGUUUACGGACGACGGACGACGGACGCCAAGUGAUGAGAAAAGCUCACUUGACCUUUCA